AAUAGCUCAGUUGGUUAGAGCGUCUGUUUCAUACGCAGAAGGUCACUGGUUCGAGUCCAGUUUUA
rnacentral:tRNA from 1 species